rnacentral:rRNA from 1 species
AUACGGAGGGUGCGAACGUUAAUCGGAAUUACUGGGCGUAAAGCGCGCGUAGGCGGAUUAUCAAGUCAGAGGUGAAAGCCCUGGGCUCAACCUGGGAACUGCCUUUGAAACUGAUAGUCUUGAGUCCGAGAGAGGAUGGCGGAAUUCCCAGUGUAGAGGUGAAAUUCGUAGAUAUUGGGAAGAACACCAGUGGCGAAGGCGGCUUGCUGGUCCAUAUCUGACGCUGAGGUGCGAAAGCUAGGGGAGCGAACAGAAUUAGAAACCCCUGUAGUCC